CCUACGGGAGGCAGCAGUGAGGAAUAUUGGUCAAUGGCCGGAAGGCUGAACCAGCCAAGCCGCGUGAAGGAAGACGGUCCUAUGGAUUGUAAACCUCUUUUGUCGGGGAGCAAAAGACGCCACGCGUGGCGUUCCGAGAGUACCCGAAGAAAAAGCAUCGGCUAACUCCGUGCCAGCAGCCGCGGUAAUACGGAGGAUGCGAGCGUUAUCCGGAUUUAUUGGGUUUAAAGGGUGCGCAGGCGGAAGAUCAAGUCAGCGGUAAAAUUGAGGGGCUCAACCUCUUCGAGCCGUUGAAACUGGUUUUCUUGAGUAGGCGAGAGGUAUGCGGAAUGCGUGGUGUAGCGGUGAAAUGCAUAGAUAUCACGCAGAACUCCGAUUGCGAAGGCAGUAUACCGGCGCUCAACUGACGCUCAUGCACGAAAGUGUGGGUAUCGAACAGGAUUAGAUACCCGGGUAGUC
rnacentral:rRNA from 1 species